GGUGGCUCAGUCGUUGGGCUCUUCAGCUUGCAUGCGCCUUUCCCAUAUAGGUCAUGCCUUCAAAUGAGAGUUCAUUCAUAUAUGUAGACGAUACACUGAAGUAUUGGAUCUUUAUAUUUAGGAUGUAAUUGAUAAUAAGUUCUUUGAUAGCAAGUAGACCAUCACCUUCUAUCAUUUUAGGUUUCCAUUCCUGUACUCUU